UCAAGGAAAUGCACAAUCCUUCCUUACCUCUGGCCUCAGAACUCUCAGCAUCUCAUUGAUUAGCAACCUCAUCUGUGGCAAAUCUAAGGGUUCAGAGGAAAAAGAACAGAUUUGCGACCGGGCACGUUGGCUCAUGCCUGUAAUCCCAGCACUUUGGGAGGCCGAGGUGGGUGGAUCACCUGAGGUCAGGAGUUCGAGACCAGCCUGACCAACAUGGAGAAACCCCGUCUCUACUAAAAAUACAAAAAAAAUUAGCCAGGCGUGGUGGCGCAUGCCUGUAAUCCCAGCUACUCGGGAGGCUGAGGCAGGAGAAUUGCUUGAACCUGGGAGGUGGAGGUUGUGGUACCAGCCUGGGCAACAAGAGCAAAACUUCAUCUCAAAAACACAAACAAACAAACAAAAAAGAACAGAUUUGCUUUUUUCUUAAUAAAGAAAAAUGUUUUGAAUUCACUCUGUAGAAAUUUAAAACUGCUUGAUGUUUUAGUGAUCAAAAUAAAAU
rnacentral:lncRNA from 1 species